rnacentral:rRNA from 1 species
CCUACGGGAGGCAGCAGUGAGGAAUAUUGGUCAAUGGGCGCGAGCCUGAACCAGCCAAGUAGCGUGAAGGAUGACUGCCCUAUGGGUUGUAAACUUCUUUUAUAUAGGAAUAAAACAGGGCAUGCAUACCUUUUUGUAUGUACCAUAUGAAUAAGGAUCGGCUAACUCCGUGCCAGCAGCCGCGGUAAUACGGAGGAUCCGAGCGUUAUCCGGAUUUAUUGGGUUUAAAGGGAGCGUAGGUGGGUUGUUAAGUCAGUUGUGAAAGUUUGCGGAUCAACCGUAAAAUUGCAGUUGAAACUGGCAGUCUUGAGUACAGUAGAGGUAGGCGGAAUUCGUGGUGUAGCGGUGAAAUGCUUAGAUAUCACGAAGAACUCCGAUUGCGAAGGCAGCUCACUGGACUGCAACUGACACUGAUGCUCGAAAGUGUGGGUAUCAAACAGGAUUAGAUACCCUUGUAGUC